UCGGGUGCAGGUUUAGGGGCUGUGGGUGCAGCGAGGGAAAGCAGGUGGAUUUCCGGGAGAAACGCUUCUCAGGCUGGGGAGACUGAAAGGACAAAGGCCGGCGCUGGGCCUCAUUGUCCUUUGCGAUGUGCCACUCGUGGCCUGCAGGGGGCCGCAGAGGAGCCGGAGGUCCAGUCAGGAGCCCACAGCCAUCCCGAGUCCGGGGCUGAGACCAGGGCAGGAGAAAGUGACCCAGACCAGCCGCCGCUGCUGCUCAAGGUGAUAAACGUUCCAGCCUCGCGCCAUCCACGCCCAUGGGGACGCGCUGUCUCAGGAGCCUUUUCCACUGAUUUCUCAUCCCGUCAGCGCCGGGGAAGACAACGUCUCACCCAGCCAGCUCCGUAUCCUCACCCCUCCCGCACUGUGUGCACAAAGAUGAACCCUCACCCUGGCCCCAUCUGCCUAACCAGGAGCCUGAGACUCACUCAUUUUGUCUUUAGCUCAUUUACUUACUGCUGAUGACAGUGACUAUUAGCAUCUGUUAGGCACUUGUUCAUUGCCAAUAAUUCUGUUAAGCACACUAUGCAUGCCUGUUCUUGUUAUCGCCAGUUUGCAGGCAGAUAGACAGACGCCCAGGGGUGGAAGGGCUUCUUGAAGACAAGGUCAUCCUCCGGGAAGGGCUGGAGCUGGGGCGGGACCUGGGCACUGCAGUCUGAGCCUUGUUCACAGCAUCGCUGGGCUGGUCUGUGUCCGGGCGUGCAUACGGGUGUGGUCAGGUGUGUCCAUCCCUUCGCCAGUGUCUGUGUCACCCACCCUCAUCAGGUCUCACUCGCCAGGUCACCUUAGUGCCUGGUGACGUUUGCUGGACUCUUAGAAUAAGCACUGAAGAAUGGUUGUUCCAUGAGCUGCGCUGGAUGUUGCACAUGGGCAGAGCUCCCAGCCCUGUGCAUUCCGGUGCGCGUGCUUCAACUCAGCCUCAGUGGCGUUUACUGUCUCUGGAGGGACCAUGG
rnacentral:lncRNA from 1 species